UCCUGACUCCACCUUGUACCUGGCAGGUUAGCUAAGCUUUUGGGAGAAGAGUGAUGGAUAGAAGGUGAUGUCACAGGGAUGGCCAUGUGAACACACAGAGAGGAAG